UGAGCUGAGGAGAAGUAACUGCUGCAAGAGAGCCUGCUGUCUCUAGCACCCUAGCUUUGUUCCUGUGAAAAGCUGAGAAUCUAGAGAAAAUUAAGUACUAAGAAUAGAGAACAGCCUCUCCAUUACUUAGGCACUGGGAAGGACAGGGCUCAAUAGCUACCUUUGUCAGGUAUCUGCAGAUUUCAGAAGGAAGAUUCCCAGGCCUGUGCAGGCCGUGCUCACCGUGCCAGAUCUUUUGGCGGUGUUUCUCCACAACAGUGCAGUACUGAGGUGCACCAGCCUGAACUCUAAAAACUACAGGCACUAACUCCAGUGAGCUAAUCAGCCCUCCAGAACUACCUAUAUUCCCUAGGGAGUAAAGCUCACACAUCUGAACUUCAUGACAGCUCUUCAGGUAAAAGUCUUGCUGCAGCUACAUGUAAAGAGCAGGAGUUUUUGAACUGCACUUGUUUGCUUCCACAAUGAACUGUAGAGGAGGAGCAACCCACAGCAAAACUUGUGUGUCUGUGCCAUGCUGGGGGAGCAGAGGUGCUGGGACAUGAACCAGGCUGGGGCAGGGAGCUAGAUUGCAGCACUAAUUGUGACCUCAGAUCCCUGAGCAAAUUAGCCUCUGGAGAGAACUGAAAUGUGUGGUCUAAAAACAAGUGAGCAAUGCUGCAGCCUGGGACCAGACUGACACCCCUUAGACACAAAGGAGGGGAUCUCUGCAGGCUGUAUGAUGGCAGCAGUGCUUUCCCCCAGAUACCCAGCAUGAUCCCCCAGGCCUCCCCAGCAGACAUGGCUGUGUGGGCUGUGUAAAACCAGGCUUCCAGGCUUCUGGAAUAGCACUAGGUGAUAUGCAGCCUUAAAACAAUCACUACAGACCAGCUCAGACACAGGAGCCUCUGUCCUUAUCAAGGAACUCAGAACAGCCCAAUGACAUCCUGGCACAUCUGAGACACAGCUUGUGAUAUAUCUUGAGUAUAUAACACCUGAAUAUCAAACUUUUCAAGCUCUAAAAUCAAUCCUUAAAAUUAUAAUACAUGGGCUUAUUCUGCCCAUAUAACUCACAGGAAUAAUUUUUGACUUGGCCCACCCAGCCAUCCACAAUAAAAUUAUUAUAAUUCUGUUGGAUCUGUGUACACCAAAUUUGCCUCGGGACAAACCAGUUUUCUUAGGGUGUUUUUUUGUUUGCUAAUGGUAUUUCAUGAACAUUGGGAUGUAAGGAUGUGACCAGAGUCUCAGGGCUUCCUCCCUGCCUCUAUGUAGUGACAGACCCUGAAAAGACAGAAUCAGACCACUAAUAUAGAGUCUGUCUGUAAUAGCAGCAUAAAAAAAAAUUCUUAAGAAAGUAGAAGACAUAGUACCUUGUUUCAUGCAAACAUAUUAUAGU